AACAGAGACACGUGGUCUCAGAAAGGCUCAGGUGUGGGAGGGGCUAAUGGAAGCCACUGUGUCCGUCUGUGUGUCAGAUGGAUCAGCUGAUGGACAGACAAACGUCAGACAGACAGACUCCAGCUCAAUGAGGCAGGAGAGGGGACGUCACUAAACCGGAAAAAGGAGAAGAAGUGGUUAAAGUAUUUCCUGUUUGUGCCGGCGUGUUUCAGUUUGUUUGAGUUUGCCGCUGGAUUCUUCAUCGACACACAAAACUCCUCAUCUUCCUCCUCUUCCUCAUUCUCAGCAGCAGCAGCAGACAUGGCCAGAAACGCUGAGAAGGCCAUGACGGCUCUGGCUCGGUUCAGACAGGCUCAGCUGGAGGAGGGAAAAGUCAAGGUCAGG